UACGUAGGGUGCGAGCGUUAAUCGGAAUUACUGGGCGUAAAGCGUGCGUAGGCGGUUCGUUAAGUCAGCUGUGAAAGCCCCGGGCUCAACCUGGGAACUGCGGUUGAAACUGGCGAACUAGAAUCUGGCAGAGGGGGGUGGAAUUCCACGUGUAGCAGUGAAAUGCGUAGAGAUGUGGAGGAACACCGAUGGCGAAGGCAGCCCCCUGGGCUGAGAUUGACGCUCAGGCACUGAAAGCGUGGGGAGCAAACAGG
rnacentral:rRNA from 1 species